rnacentral:rRNA from 1 species
CUACGUGCCAGCAGCCGCGGUAAUACGUAGGGAGCGAGCGUUAUCCGGAUUUAUUGGGUGUAAAAGGUGCGUAGACGGAAAUGCAAGUUAGUUGUGAAAUACCUCGGCUUAACUGAGGAACUGCAACUAAAACUAUAUUUCUUGAGUAUCGGAGGGGUUUGUGGAAUUCCUAGUGUAGCGGUGAAAUGCGUAGAUAUUAGGAAGAACACCGGUGGCGAAGGCGACAAACUGGACGAUAACUGACGUUGAGGCACGAAAGUGUGGGGAGCGAACCGGAUUAGAUACCCUGGUAGUCCACGCCGUAAACGAUGGAUACUAGCUGUUGGAGGUAUCGACCCCUUCAGUAGCGAAGCUAACGCGUUAAGUAUCCCGCCUGUGGAGUACGGCCGCAAGGCUAAAACAUAAAGGAAUUGACGGGGACCCGCACAAGCGGUGGAUUAUGUUCUUUAAUUCGAUGAUAACCGAAGAACCUUACCAGGGCUUGACAUCCAG